rnacentral:lncRNA from 1 species
CUAGAAUGAGAAUGCACAGCAAGCGGCAGACAAUCACCCGGCAUUCGGCAUCUCUUUCUUUUCACGCGCUCCCUCGCUCCGCCUUUCUCCAGCUCUGCCUUCUCAGGCAGAUACAUCAGAUACCUUGUUUAUCCAUCUUCAGCUCCACUCUGAGGGCGCAGACGCACGAUUCCGGGAUCGGGUGCACCUUGGCGAAGCCCAGGCGGGAGACGGCAGGAGCAGCUCAGAUGAAGAAACUGAAACCCACAGAGAUGAAGUAACAUCCUCAAGAUCAAAAGGUAACAAACGAUUGAGGCAGGAUUUGGAUAUUGCUCUACAUGACGGGAAAGCCUGUGCUCUUGGAAUUACAGUCAUAGUACAACAGAUCAAGUUCAAAGCAUCAUCUAAGUCAAGGAAAACCAGUAAAGAGGUUUGGAGAGACAAACAGGGUCAACUCCAGGCAUUUGGGUCAGCAGAAACGGCACGAUUGAGCAGCACUGUGACUAUAGGAUCAUGGAUCAGAGGCUGCUUCCUCUUUGGUUCUGGGCAUCAGCCUCAUGUCCACUCAAAGUAAGUGGCCCCUCUGAUUGGAAUCGGAGGUGCCUGGGUCAUCUCACAGAGCCAAACAAAUACAAUUAGCUAUUGCAAAGCCUUUUGGGAAUUAUUCCCAGUGUAAAUAAACACAUAACCAUAUAGCAAGAGCCUUGAUAAAGUCCAAAAACAAGCAAACUUGGAGUAUCUAAGAGAAAAGACCACAAUGUAAAUGAAAAACCAAAUAAACUCGGGCAAACCAUAGGAUAGGGCCCUGUCUGUGAUGGCCUGCAUAUGACGAGCCAUAGAAAAAGGAUGGUGAAUUCUGGAUAAUAAGAAAUGUCAAUGAGAUGGAAGAACCACCUGUUUUAUGUAAAGCUCCAAAUAACCAGAUCACAGUGGACAGCCACUCAAAUAAUGCCUUCAUAAUACAGAGUAUUAUUGAGAAUAACUCAAUUCACAGAGAGCUUAAGGCAGCCAAUAUUUGAUAGCCUGUCAGAAAAAAACAGAACAGUAAUUACAGAAAAGAAUCAUAUCCUCGGAAAAACAAAAAUUAAUCAAACUAAGUUUGUAAAGUCUAUCUUACAGACACAUUGUCUGGACUGGUCCUCUCAAAAAUACUGUUUUUUUUUAUGCCAAUUUGUUUAGUUAAUGAUUUUUGUCUUAUUACUUCAAAACUGGAAAUAUCCUAUGACUCAUAAUAUCUUACAACCUUUCUACUUUCUUAAAGAAUCUCAAGUUUAUAAUCACAGGGGAUCGGAUUAUUUUUCAAAAAUUAAAUGGUGAUGUAACGAUUUCUGUGUCUAUUGUAGGAAAAUCAACCUUAUUACAGCUGCAACAAUGGCAUUAAGAAAUAUGAGUAAUUCCAAUCAACUUGAGAUAAUGUCUAAUCAAACACAAAUACAACUGGUAAAUUUCAUUAAAUAGCAUGGAGAUUAAAUUAAAACACUAUUACAUAAUAAAAACCUUUAGUGGUACUAAAAUUUUAGAAUAGUUCAGAUAUACAGAAAAAUUUCAAAGAUACACAGAGUUCCCAUUUUUUUCCUAUUACUAACCUCUCAUAUUUGUCACAACUAAUGAAUAUUCAAUACAGUAUUAUUAACUAAAGCCCACACAUUUAUUUAGAUUUCCUUAGUUUUUAGCUAACAUUCUUUUUCUUUGUUCCAGGAUCCCAUCCGGGCCACCACAUGGAAUUUAUUUGUCAUUUUAGGUACCUCUUGGCUGUGAGUUUCUUAGACUUUCCUUGUUUUUGGUGACCCUGACAGUUUGAGGGAGUACUAGUCAGUUAUUUUUGUAGAAUGCCCUAAAUUUGAGUUUGGCUGAUGUUUUUCUUAGGGUUUGACUGGGGUUAUGGGUUUUGGGGAAGAAGACCACAGAGGUGAAGUACCAUUCUCACCAAAUUAUAUUAAAGGUACAUACCAUCAG